GGGGCGGUAGCUCAGUGGGUCAGAGCAGCGGACUCAUAAUCCGCCGGUCGGAGGUUCGAGUCCUCCCCGCCCCACGA
rnacentral:tRNA from 1 species